UUCCUAGUUGUGGUAUGACUGUAGCUUAUGUGCUUUAUUAUAACUAAAUAUAUAUGUUGUGUAGGUUAUAUAUAUAUGCCCUGUUAUGCCUAAUUACUUCGUACACCUUACAAUGGUUGGUUUGGCUAUUCAUGAGUUUGUGGAUGGUGGUUAUGGUUAAACAUAGGAAUUAUGGGAUCCCGAUUGUCUUAAGGGUAAGCUGAUGAAUGGUUAGGAAAUAGCAGGGAAAAUGCUUUCCAAUAAUUUGGGGCAAGGGAAUGAAGAAUUCAAAAAUGAGGCCACAUGAUGAGUGGACGAGCCUGAUUUUUAUGUUAAGCAUUCUUCGUGGUGGGGGCCAAACCUUUUAGACGAGUGGGAUGAUGUA